rnacentral:rRNA from 1 species
UACAGAGGGUGCAGGCGUUAAUCGGAAUUACUGGGCGUAAAGCGUGCGCAGGCGGUUUGCUAAGACAGGUGUGAAAUCCCCGAGCUUAACUUGGGAAUUGCGCUCGAAACUAGGGAGCUGGAGUGUGGCAGAGGAAGGUGGAAUUCCACGUGUAGCGGUGAAAUGCGUAGAGAUGUGGAGGAACACCAAUGGCGAAGGCAGCCUUCUGGGCCAACACUGACGCUCAUGCACGAAAGCGUGGGGAGCAAACAGG